AAAAGCUUCUCCAAUUGCUAUUGCUUGGAAUUAAUUUCGUCAAUAGCUAUCUCUGGUAUUGGUUAUGCUGGGAUCCUUCGGUGCAUCGCGACGUAAGUUUCUUGCUCGCCGAGACAUCCUCCGUGGUUUAAGUCUCUCUGUUGAUCGAUCCAGGAUGGCGCCGAGAAGUAGAUGAGCACCGAGCGGCGUUAUAAGCUGCUGGGGGUCGAGAAGAUUAUCCAGAAGCGAUGGAAGGACGCCAGACUUUGUUUCCCUGGUCCAUUGUUGCACUUACUGGAACAUUAACUCCAAGCCCUCUACAGUAUGUGGCAGCUACUGAGCAGAUUGCUGGCAUUCUUGCUUCAAGCAUCGUGCAGGCCAAAGUUCCUGCUGUGAUCUGCUCACGAAUAGAGUGGUGAAUCGCGCAUGCAGAUUGAUUGUCAGAAUAACUCACUGUAGGUUCUUCUUGCUGCUGCUGCACACCGGCUAGAAGAUCAUGAAGCCCCACGGCCUCUUGAGCAGCCAGCGUCAAGGCUGUGUCACAGCAAUACCAUCGCUGCACACUGUCUUUGCUUCACAUCUAGGUUUGCUUAAUCAAGCUCAAUGGCUAUGGCCGACUCUAUCUCCACCGAGAGACUUUGGCUAGUAGGAUAGAAUGCCAUUGGUUAUGGGUAUCGAACCCCUGACCAUCGUAGGUGCAUUGC
rnacentral:lncRNA from 1 species